GGCUGGAUAGCUCAGUCGGUAGAGCACGAGACUCUUAAUCUCAGGGCUGUGGGUUCAAACCCCACAUUGGGCA
rnacentral:tRNA from 1 species